GACGAACGCUGGCGGCGUGCCUGACACAUGCAAGUCGGACGGUUCUUGCACCUUCAAGCUUGCUUGUUGGUUCAAGGAUAGUGGCGGACGGGUGAGUAACGCGUGAACACCUACCCAUUGGAGGGGUACAACCCGUCGAAAGGCGGGCUAAUACCGCGUAAGCCGCGAGGUGAAAGGCUGCCUUUUGGUGGCUGCCGAUGGAUGGGUUCGCGUCCUAUCAGCUUGUUGGUGGGGUAACGGCCUACCAAGGCGAAGACGGGUAGCCGGUCUGAGAGGAUGGCCGGCCACACUGGAACUGAGACACGGUCCAGACUCCUACGGGAGGCAGCAGUGGGGAAUCUUGGGCAAUGGGGGGGACCCUGACCCAGCGACGCCGCGUGAGGGACGAAGGUUUUCGGAUCGUAAACCUCUGUUGUACGGGAAGAAUUGCGUGACGGUACCGUACGAGUAAGCCCCGGCAAACUACGUG
rnacentral:rRNA from 1 species